UGUUAUUCUAGAAAAAAAGGAGUUUCUCUUAGGAGGAGAAGAGCCUCUGCAUGAGAAGGCAAGCACUGAGGACCACUGGUGGAAAAACAGCAGGGCCCAAAUGUGAGACAGCACUCUGGCUCCUGUUUAAGAUGCCAAAGCAGCUGCCUCAACAUUCAGCCGUGGUUCAUCUCAGAGGAUGAAAGACCUUCCUUUGUUUUCUUCUUGAGUGAGCUAACAUCUGCCCAGCCAACAUCUUCAAUGAUAAAGAAAAAAAAUCAUCAAGUGUUUCAACUCAAAGAAAAAUGGGUGGUUGAAGAAGGGGAUCUUGGUAAAGAGAUGAAAGAAUGAGAGAGCGGGAACAACUGAAAUCUUCCAGUAAAUCUGUUGGAACACCAGAGGUGUUCAACUACUUUGAGAGAAGAAACAAACAAAGGCUUAAGAUGGAAGUACUAUAUCAACAUGCUCUCUGGAAUCAAACACUUGAUAUUCUUUUGUGUGUGUACGUGUGCUUGUGGGUGACAUUUGGACAUCCUGCUCCUUCCUCUGAACUGUGGGUGUAGGGAGCGUGUCUGGCCUCACGCCAGUGCUCUGACCAGACGUUCAAUACAGCAUGUUCUCGGAGAACUGAGACCUCUCUAGGGAAAACGAAUAGUGUUUUGGCAUAAAAAAGAAUUUGGACAGACUCUACAUCAGUUCCAGCGACUGUUGAAACAGAGAGCCGACUGUAAAGGAGUCAAGCAGUCUGUGGCCUCGAGCUGAUUUCCACACACAUCAGUCAGACAGCUGGGCGGUUUCCUGUCUGGAGGAUGCAUAUGUGUUUGUCAUCAAGCAACAAGCAAGAUAUAUAUUUGGCUCAAGGUGUGGUAUAAGCUGCUGUUUUGAAGAAUGAAUCGGUCUCAG